CGGCGGAGCAGCGCCGGACUCUGACACGCUGAACUCCAACAUGGAGACGGAGGAGACGGAGGAGCCACGCGAGGUCCCCUCGACCUCCCGCAGGAAAGGAGAAGCUCUGCGCGGUGUUGGCGAGAGACCCCCGGCCUGGACACUAAACCACAUGUUGUUUCACACAACUUACAGUGGACACUUCAUUGUCAACCUACAUGCUUUGGCAGGAGGAAGUGAGGUAAUGUGCCGUGAUGAAGCCAGGCCAGGGGUGAGGGUGUUGGAUUCAUGCCUCACCCACAGGGAUUAGGGUCAGAGUGUAUUGACACAAGGCUUGCACGCCACAUCCACCCGUCGCCUCCGCUGCAGCCCUGUCUCAGUAUAUAGAUGGAGCUGUGAAUUGCCGGGGGCUCUCACACGUGAGCAGGCUCGCAACAGACCACAGAGGCCUUUACCUGAUCAGAAAAUAGUUUGUCCUGGACAGCACCCUAAUGAAGUCUGGACCACACCCGCUGAACCACUGAGUGUGUGUUGCAGUGAUCUUAUCACCACAAUAUGAUUAAUAGAAAUAUUAAAACACAAAAAUGGAUGAUGUUUUGUAACAACACACAUUCAGAAAAAAGCAAACCAAUUCUUAGGGUACAUAAAACAUCUGUUUAUUUAUGUCACAUUCUCAAAUUUAUAAAAUCAUAUGUUCAUAAAUUAAACCUCUGCUGUUGCAUAUGGCAAAUGUCAUUGAACAAUAAUCAGACUGUUACAAGCUGAUACCUGUUAUCUUUAUGUGUAAGCGUGUGCACGUAUGGCUGUUUGUAUGUGUGUAUACAAACAUCAGUCUCCCAUUGUUUUGGGGACGGUAGCGUGAGAGCAUCAAAGAUUUGGCUGCUUGUAAAAAAAGAACUGACUGUCACCACUGUCAACAUACACAUACACACACACACACGCACACACACACACACACACACUACAAUCAGGUAUGAUAGGCGUGGCCUUCCUGGGUCCCUGUGGGCCGAAGAAGACAAAGGGACCCUCAGUAAAAGGACGUCCACUCAUCCUCACACAGGACACAAGGGAUCACAGAUCUCUCCCUCAUAAACACACAAAUCCACACAAGUUCAUGUGUGUGUGUGUGUGUGUGUGUGUGUGUGUGUGUGUGAGCUUGACAAUGAUUUGCUAAGGACCUCAAAUUAGACCACAACAUAGCAGCAUUCCCAAACUCCCAAAUGUCCCACUGAAAAACAUUUUGACGCUAUAAUUUAUGUAUAAUAGAUUCAGCACAUAGUGGACAUGUACAUAAAAACAGGACACACAUGAAGCAGUUCCAACACCCUUUCUUAUUCAUGUAGCAGCACUGUUCUCCCUGCAACGUACAAGCGCCUCGUUACCUGGCCCAACAUUAGAGGCUGAGAGAUGAAUGAAUAUAAUAACAGAUAUCUGUGGAUAUAUUUUCCUGCUGAAAUUAAUGACAGGUAAUUUGUGUCCUAUUUAUGUGUAUACAGUUGGUGUGAUAUAAUGUGUACAUGGUUGUAAACUGUAUGGAUAUACUGUGUAUGUACUGUGAUUGUUGUAUGUGUUUUUUGUUCAGCUGGUUUGAUUAUCGUCUAAAAAGAUUAUAUAUCAUUUCAAAUACUAUAACCUUUUUUCCGCUGGAAUGUACAGAGUUCCUCAAUCUUUUUUUCUUUAGUGAAUUAACUAAUUUGUCUAAAAAGUGUAAUGUAUCCUAAGGGAAAAAAACUGCUAAAGAAAAAUAAAACUUAAAAAAGAACAGAAU